UUUGAGACAAGCAUAUGACUAC
rnacentral:siRNA from 1 species